rnacentral:rRNA from 1 species
CCUACCCAUGAGCAGGAUGAAGCGAAAGUAAAAUUUCGUGGAGGUCCGAACCCACGAGCGUUGAAAAGCUCGGGGAUGACUUGUGGGUAGCGGUGAAAUUCCAAUCGAGCCCGGAGAUAGCUGGUUCGCCCCGAAAUAGCUUUAGGGCUAGCCUCAAGGUGAGAGAUACGGAGGUAGAGCACUGAAUGUCCUAGGGGGUAUUGCACCUACCGAAGACUAUCAAACUCCGAAUGCCGUC